rnacentral:lncRNA from 1 species
GUUGCAUGUUUGCUCGACACAGCCGGUCCCAAGCCCGGAAAAGGAGGAGGGUUUGAGUCAACAGAUGUGAUCUCAAUGUUUUUUAAUUAUCUCUGCAUUUGUGUUUUUUCUGCCUAUUAUUAGGUUGCCUUUACUCUCAACUCUUUCUGAUUGUCCGCAUCUUUUCUCUGUGUUGCUGGUUAAACUUUUGAAUAUUAAUUACAUCGAGAGUGUUGAAGGCUUUAUUCUUGUAGUUGGGUAGGAGAAUUGAAUGAUCUUUUCUCUGUGUUGCUGGUUCAACUUUUGGAAUAUUAAUUACAUCGAGAGUGUUGAAGGCUUUAUUCUUGUAGUUGGGUAGGAGAAUUGAAUGAUCUGGCGCUAACAUAAUAAUCUUGAUUUCCAUUCCUUGACUCUACUUGUGGAUUUCACCUUAUUUUUGGCAGUUAGAUGUAACUGGUUCUAGAUGAGCUGUGUUCACGGCUGGCCAUUAAACUUUUGCAGUGGAAUCCAAAAUGAACUCUUCUUCAUUUGCCAAGUUGCACGAACCAUUUUAGGUGCGCUGUCUCUUAAGAGUAAGUUCUACUUGCCCUAUUAUUUAUCCCAUAAUCUGUUUCUUGCUUUGAAAUGACUUAUUAUUUUUAAUUUAAACUAUGUGCUCACUGGUAUGGGGAAUGAGAACUUCUAACCAACCAUGUUCAUGAUAUCCACGGAAGUCAAAACUGUAAGAUGCCACAUUGUGAAUAUAUUAAUUUCAAAGGGCGUUAUAUAUUAAAUGGAAAAGUGUUCUUGGUUGUUCUGCAUGUUACACUGUAUUCAAAAGUUGCUUUAUUGUGUCAAUUUAUGUUUUUAUCUAAUAAUAGGCUCUUGUAAUUCCAUCUGUGUCAGUCCAUAUCUAAGAUAAGGUAACAUUUAAGAAAAUAGUAUAGCUCAAGUUACCUAUCUGAGAGAACUCGUGACAGUCCUAUUGACACACCCCUGAUCAUCAUUAAAAUUUAUUAUUGUAACUUGUUAGAUAUUACCUACUAGUAUAGCAGCGAAAUGAAAUAGUCAUUUAACUACAUUAAAUGUAUGUAAGAAAAUGCCCUCGAUCUGUUUAGUUCAGUUCUGUGUGAUGUUUUCUGGAAAUUUUCUUCGACUCACUUUGGCAUACGGUCAUAGAAUUCAUUAAUUUGCUUGUACAGUCCAAAUUUUACUAGAAUCAAUAAUUAUGAUUAACGUGGCAAAGAUUGCAUAAAUAUAUUUUUAAGACUUCACUGCUUUCCCAAAUUUACUAGAAAUGCAGGAGGGAAGUAAUGAUGGUCAAGAAAAGCUAUCAUUCUAUAUUUUCUUGUUUGCAAGUUCCAUAACUGAAAGGUUUCUCAGAGCUGGACCCAGCUGCAACCGCAUUAGACAUUAGAGCUUCUUCAGGUAAUGGGUCCUAGGGAAGUAGAGAUGACAGAAAAGAGACCGCAUCUGAGGAGGCUUAGAAGGGUAUCCAGGGAAGCAGCCUUGAACAAUUGUGCAGAAUACUGGUUUUGUAUAAUUCAAGGAGAAUGGCGUUUUGGUGUGGAAUUGGAAUUUGGUGGGAUAAUUUUGUUCUUUCUUUUGAACUCAAUAAAUGUGUAGGGUAUAGAUCAAAUCUAUAAAUUGAGCAUAGUUGAGAGGAUGAAGAGCUUUAUUCUUCUUUCAUGUAUGAGAUAAUCUUUGGACAUAUCUAUAAAUCUCACUCUCAGAACUCUGGCAUCGUGUGCUUGUACAUUUUGUAGUGCUGGAAUUCUGAAUUUUGUAUCUGCUUUCCACUUCAAUCAGAAUUUGGACAACUGGGUUUUCAGAUUUUAAUAAAAAUUUCUUUCGCAUUAGUUUUUUUAAAGAUGAAGACUUUAAGAC